rnacentral:rRNA from 1 species
AUCAUUGAAUCUUUGAACGCAUCUUGCGCCUUUUGGAAUUCC